rnacentral:ncRNA from 1 species
CCAUACCGAGCUGUAACGGAGCGCUCCGCGCGCGGGCUUUCUUUUGGG